GACGAACGCUGGCGGUGUGCUUAACACAUGCAAGUCGAACGGUAAGGCCCUUUCGGGGGUACACGAGUGGCGAACGGGUGAGUAACACGUGAGUAACCUGCCCUCAUCUCUGGGAUAACAGUCGGAAACGGUUGCUAAUACUGGAAAUGAGCUUGCAAGGCAUCUUGUGGGUUGGAAAGAUUUUUUUUGGUUGGGGAUGGACUCGCGGCCUAUCAGCUUGUUGGUGAGGUAGUGGCUCACCAAGGCUUCGACGGGUAGCCGGCCUGAGAGGGCGACGGGACACAUUGGAACUGAGAGACGGCCCAAACUCCGACGGGAGGCAGCAGUGGGGAAUAUUGCACAAUGGACGGAAGUCUGAUGCAGCAACGCCGCGUGCGGGAUGACGGCCUUCGGGUUGUAAACCGCUCUCAAUUGUGACGAAGCUUUUUUGUGACGGUAGCAGUAGAAGAAGCACCGGCUAACUACGUG
rnacentral:rRNA from 1 species